GACGGAGGGUGCUAGCGUUGUUCGGAAUCACUGGGCGUAAAGGGCGCGUAGGCGGCCUUUGGUGUCGGAUGUGAAAGCCCGGGGCUCAACUCCGGAGGUGCAUCCGAAACUCAAAGGCUGGAGGCCGGAAGAGGAGGGUGGAAUACCCAGUGUAGAGGUGAAAUUCGUAGAUAUUGGGUGGAACACCGGUGGCGAAAGCGGCUCUCUGGUCCGGUCCUGACGCUGAGGCGCGAAAGCGUGGGGAGCAAACAGG
rnacentral:rRNA from 1 species